rnacentral:rRNA from 1 species
UACGUAGGUGACAAGCGUUGUUCGGAUUCAUUGGGCGUAAAGGGCGCGUAGGCUGCGGGGCAAGUCGGGUGUGAAAUCUCAGAGCUCAACUCUGAAACUGCACUCGAUACUGCUUUGCUCGAGGACUGGAGAGGAGAUUGGAAUUCACGGUGUAGCAGUGAAAUGCGUAGAUAUCGUGAGGAAGACCAGUGGCGAAGGCGGAUCUCUGGACAGUUCCUGACGCUGAGGCGCGAAGGCCAGGGGAGCAAACGGG